GAUGAACGCUGACAGAAUGCUUAACACAUGCAAGUCAACUUGAAUUUGGGUUUUUAACUUAGGUUUGGGUGGCGGACGGGUGAGUAACGCGUAAAGAACUUGCCUCACAGCUAGGGACAACAUUUGGAAACGAAUGCUAAUACCUAAUAUUAUGAUAAUAGGGCAUCCUAUAAUUAUGAAAGCUAUAAGCGCUGUGAGAGAGCUUUGCGUCCCAUUAGCCAGUUGGAGAGGUAACGGCUCACCAAGGCGAUGAUGGGUAGCCGGCCUGAGAGGGUGAUCGGCCACAAGGGGACUGAGACACGGCCCUUACUCCUACGGGAGGCAGCAGUGGGGAAUAUUGGACAAUGGACCGAGAGUCUGAUCCAGCAAUUCUGUGUGCACGAUGAAGUUUUUCGGAAUGUAAAGUGCUUUCAGUUGGGAAGAAACAAAUGACGGUACCAACAGAAGAAGUGACGGCUAAAUACGUG
rnacentral:rRNA from 1 species